UGAGUAAACUAGAUGAUCGCAGACCCAAGCCGCAAGGCUGUGUCUGAGGAAAGUCCGGGCUCCAUAGGGCAGGGUGCUGGCUAACGGCCAGUGAGGGCAACCUUAAGGAAAGUGCCACAGAAAAAAACCGCCCACUAGAGGUUAGAGGUUAGAGUUUAGAAGUUGGAGGAAAUCAUGAUUAAAAGCUAUAAAGACUUAGAUGUGUAUAAGUCAGCUUAUAGGUUAGCACUUCAAAUUCAUAGUUCUUCUUUAGGAUUUCCUAAAUUCGAAACAUAUGAACUAGGUGGACAAUUAAGAAGAGCUGCCAUUUCAAUCCCUUUAAAUAUUGCAGAAGGAUAUGGAAAAAAGAAAUCCAGUGCAGAAUUUAGACAUUUCUUAUCUAAUGCCAUGGGAUCUUGUAACGAAGUAAGUGUCUUAAUUGAAAUGUGUAAAGAUCUUGGCUAUUUUGAUGAGGAAGUCUAUACCAAUCUAAGUAACUCUUAUGAUGUUUUAGGUAAAAGAAUUAAUAAAUUAAUUCAAACCUGGAAAUAAUCUAACAUCUAACUUCCAACUUCUAACUUCUAGUAGGUAAGGGUGCAACGGUGCGGUAAGAGCGCACCAGCAGCUAGGCGACUAGCUGGCUAGGUAAACCCCACCUGGUGCAAGACCUAAUAGGGGAACACA
rnacentral:RNase_P_RNA from 1 species